UACGUAGGGUGCAAGCGUUGUCCGGAAUUAUUGGGCGUAAAGAGCUCGUAGGCGGCUUGUCGCGUCGACCGUGAAACCUCACAGCUCAACUGUGAGCCUGCGGUCGAUACGGGCAGGCUAGAGUUCGGUAGGGGAGACUGGAAUUCCUGGUGUAGCGGUGAAAUGCGCAGAUAUCAGGAGGAACACCGGUGGCGAAGGCGGGUCUCUGGGCCGAUACUGACGCUGAGGAGCGAAAGCGUGGGGAGCAAACAGG
rnacentral:rRNA from 1 species